GUCGAGAAUCUUUCACAAUGGGGGCAACCCUGAUGGAGCGACGCCGCGUGGAGGAUAAGGUCUUCGGAUUGUAAACUCCUGUCAUGCGUGAACAAGGUUGCUUGGUUAAUACCUGGGCAAAUUGAUGGUAACGCAAGAGGAAGAGACGGCUAACUCUGUGCCAGCAGCCGCGGUAAUACAGAGGUCUCAAGCGUUGUUCGGAAUCACUGGGCGUAAAGGGUGCGUAGGUGGCGUGGUAAGUCAGAUGUGAAAGCCCGGGGCUCAACCUCGGAACUGCAUCCGAUACUGCCAUGCUAGAGUACUGGAGAGGUGACUAGAAUUCUCGGUGUAGCAGUGAAAUGCGUAGAUAUCGAGAGGAAUACCAAAGGCGUAGGCAGGUCACUGGACAGUUACUGACACUGAGGCACGAAGGCCAGGGGAGCGAACGGGAUUAGAUACCCUUGUAUUCC
rnacentral:rRNA from 1 species